UGAUGAAAAGGUAAUGUAGAAAACCCCAAGCAUUAUGAAAAGGUAAUGGAGAAAACCCCAAGCAUGAUGAAAAGGUAAUGUAGAAAACCACAAUCAUCACCGUGCUUCUUUCACAUGCUUUGCUUGCUGUUUGGGGUUUUAGGCUGGGUUUCUGUACAGCACUUUGAGAAUAUCAGCUGAUGUACGAAGGGCUAUAUAAAAAUAAAUUUGAAAUUUGAUGAAAAGGUAAUGUAGAAAACCACAAGCAUGAAAAGGUAAUGUAGAAAACCACAAGCAUGAAAAGGUAAUGUAGAAAACCACAAGCAUUAUGAAAAGGUAAUGUAGAAAACCACA
rnacentral:lncRNA from 1 species